rnacentral:rRNA from 1 species
AGUGAACGCUGGCGGUAGGCCUAACACAUGCAAGUCGAACGGCAGCACAGUAAGAGCUUGCUCUUACGGGUGGCGAGUGGCGGACGGGUGAGGAAUACAUCGGAAUCUACUUUUUCGUGGGGGAUAACGUAGGGAAACUUACGCUAAUACCGCAUACGACCUACGGGUGAAAGCAGGGGAUCUUCGGACCUUGCGCGAUUGAAUGAGCCGAUGUCGGAUUAGCUAGUUGGGGGGGUAAAGGCCCACCAAGGCGACGAUCCGUAGCUGGUCUGAGAGGAUGAACAGCCACAAUGGAACUUGGAAACGGUCCAGACUCCUACGGGAGGCAGCAGGGGGGAAUAUUGGACAAUGGGGGCAAGCCUGAUCCAGCCAUACCGGGUGGGUUAAGAAGGCCUUCGGGUUGUAAAGCCCUUUUGUUGGGAAAGAAAAGCAGCAGGUGAAUACCCCGCUGUUCUGACGGUACCCAAAGAAUAAGCACCGGCUAACUUCGUG